UACGAAGGGGGCUAGCGUUGCUCGGAAUCACUGGGCGUAAAGGGUGCGUAGGCGGGUCUUUAAGUCAGGGGUGAAAUCCUGGAGCUCAACUCCAGAACUGCCUUUGAUACUGAGGAUCUUGAGUUCGGGAGAGGUGAGUGGAACUGCGAGUGUAGAGGUGAAAUUCGUAGAUAUUCGCAGGAACACCAGUGGCGAAGGCGGCUUACUGGCCCAUUACUGACGCUGAGGUGCGAAAGCGCGGGGAGCAAACAGG
rnacentral:rRNA from 1 species